rnacentral:rRNA from 1 species
AGUGCACCGAUUUGUAGACUACCUUUGGUGUCUAUGAUAUAUACAUCACNAGUUUUUGAAUGUAUUAGUUUUGAGGCCUUUUUGUGCCCGUUAUUAACAAAAUAUACAACUUUCAACAAUGGAUCUCUUGGCUCUUGCAUCGAUGAAGAACGCAGCGAAAUGCGAUAAGUAAUGUGAAUUGCAGAAUUCAGUGAAUCAUCGAAUCUUUGAACGCAUCUUGCGCUCCUUGGUAUUCCGAGGAGCAUGCCUGUUUGAGUGUCAUUAAUUUCUCAAAACAUUUCACAUUGUAAUGUUUUGGAUUGUGGGAGUCAUUGCUGGCCGGUUGGUANUCAGCUCUCCUUAAAAGUAUGGGAUGGAAAGGUCUUUCAACGCUCAUUUGGUGUGAUAAUUAUCUAUGCCAGGGAAGUAAAUGAAAGCUUUUUCAAGUCCCCCCUUGGUCCUGUA